UACGUAGGGUGCAAGCGUUAAUCGGAAUUACUGGGCGUAAAGAGCGUGUAGGCGGCCAGAUAGGUCCGUUGUGAAAACUGGAGGCUUAACCUCCAGCUGUCGAUGGAAACCAUCUGGCUAGAGUCCGGAAGAGGAGAGUGGAAUUCCUGGUGUAGCGGUGAAAUGCGCAGAUAUCAGGAAGAACACCCGUGGCGAAGGCGGCUCUCUGGGACGGUACUGACGCUGAGACGCGAAAGCGUGGGGAGCGAACAGG
rnacentral:rRNA from 1 species